CUGUUGAGGACAUACAUAAUGUACAAUACAAUUGGAAAAUAGCAGUGUGUCUGCUCUGAGAGACAAUGUGACUCAACUUUCUUCUAAACCGAAGAAUUGUAGAAUCAUGGCAUUUUCCAUGAGCCUACAUUUGGAGUGUGUAUGGUGAAUGCUGAUGGACGACAGUGGAGGUUAGUGAGUAUUUACAUUAUGAUUGUAGAUAUUAUCAGCAUAUGUCGAUGAACACAGAAGAAGGUACACAGGGAUGGAAAAAAUGAAAAAUGUGCCGUCUUGUACCAGACACAAUGCUUGAAUGUGAAAUUUCGGAGAGAAAGCGUAGCUGUGGAUAUUGUUCAGAGACAACCAUUAUAGUGUUACGGAGUUGCAUAGAAGAUUUGGUUGCUUCUCAAGACACAGGCCAUUGUGUUGGGUUGUAUGGUUUGUGAGUAUGUGUCCAGAUUACUUGCAGAAUAGAUAGACAAGCGUAGGAGCUAAGUGAAUUGUGAAGAUGAACUCUAUUUGUUAGUAGGUAUAGUUAAUAAUUGAGCUUUCGGAAUAGCUGAGUUCGGUUGUCAUGACUUUUCCUCUUGUGCAUAACAUGUUGAGUAUUUGAUGUGUUUCUGUAUGUACCAUGGGCGAGUGUAUUUUGUGUUGUUGUGUCUGAGUUUGUUCCGUUCAUAAAUUUUGAGUACAUGGUGAGUGAAGAGGUCCUUUAUGACAGGUACUUAGCUUAAAUAAGGAUGACUAAUAGAUACAUAUGUUGUGUAGUUAGAAUCGAUAUGGGGAAUAGUUGUCAUACUGGGGAACAGUGUAGUUACCGGUAUCUGCAUUCGUUUGAAAGUGACACUGGGAUAGAACAAAAUGUGUUAUGAAAGCAUUGCUUGUGAUAAUUGUUUGUAUGUAACGUGUCAUUGGUGACGCAUUUCUUGCUUUGACAGGAUGAAGCAGGCUAGAGAAUGUUUACCCUUUUCACCAAUUCCUGCUAAGGAUGUGAGCCACUCCAUGCUGCGAAGCCAUGGGAUAUGACAGAGAGGUUUACUAAGAGUUUCUGAAACUCGUUGAGAGGCAGUGUUGCAUUAUUACUUGGGCUGGUACCAUUUACUGUUACUUGUGUAUUGUUGAGGGAAAUCAGUGUGCUAGAAGUAACGUAUAUUCAAGGCAGACAUGCAAAUGCGAAAAGCUUGUGCGCAUCAAUGUGAGAUUUAAAGCACAACGUGGAAUGUUACUGAGGAUGAAGCAGGCUAGAGAAUGUUUACCCUUUUCACCAAUUCCUGCUAAGGAUGUGAGCCACUCCAUGCUGCGAAGCCAUGGGAUAUGACAGAGAGGUUUACUAAGAGUUUCUGAAACUCGUUGAGAGGCAGUGUUGCAUUAUUACUUGGGCUGGUACCAUUUACUGUUACUUGUGUAUUGUUGAGGGAAAUCAGUGUGCUAGAAGUAACGUAUAUUCAAGGCAGACAUGCAAAUGCGAAAAGCUUGUGCGCAUCAAUGUGAGAUUUAAAGCACAACGUGGAAUGUUACUGAGGAUGAAGCAGGCUAGAGAAUGUUUACCCUUUUCACCAAUUCCUGCUAAGGAUGUGAGCCACUCCAUGCUGCGAAGCCAUGGGAUAUGACAGAGAGGUUUACUAAGAGUUUCUGAAACUCGUUGAGAGGCAGUGUUGCAUUAUUACUUGGGCUGGUACCAUUUACUGUUACUUGUGUAUUGUUGAGGGAAAUCAGUGUGCUAGAAGUAACGUAUAUUCAAGGCAGACAUGCAAAUGCGAAAAGCUUGUGCGCAUCAAUGUGAGAUUUAAAGCACAACGUGGAAUGUUACUGAGGUAAGGAAUGGUGAUUGGGCGCCUUAGUUUUGUAGUAAAUUUAAUUUGUCCGGAAGAGACGUUGAUUGCAAUUUUAUUAUGUGUGAUGUAUUUAAUAUUACCUAAAACUUGCAAAGUGCGUGAUUUGAUAUGACACCUUGAGAGAAAUACGUUCUGGUCUUUAGUUAUGUGCAUAUUUCUAAUGUUGAAAUGUUAAUUGUAUUUGGAUUGGCAAAUUUGUUGAAUUAUGUAAUGUCAGUCAGUUGAAGUGUUGUUUUAAUAUAAAAGACCACUGCAGCAUCACAAGUGUUGCACAGUGCAACUGAGUAAUGCGAAAUGUUUUGGAGUGACACCCCAAAUGAUUAUGCU